CACAUCAACCUCAGAUUCAUGAUAUAGGCAUAUAUCUACCAAAAAAAAAGGUUCAAGACCAAAGUGUCACAAAUUAGAAUGUCAUUUCCUCUACCUGACUCGGUUUACCCUUUCGCACUACGACGCGUGUUUGCUUCAAAUCCAUCACAAUGUUAAACAAUGUCCCAACCGUACUGCUUCCAAUCUCAUGUCGGCAGAUGGAAGCCGGAGAGUUCUUUUCGUCUUCAAAAACCUUUGAUAUCGUAUCCCACGCCGGGACGUGACUCAGAUUUUCCGACAGCUCACGCAUUCGAUCGACUCUUAAUGGAGAAUCUCCCAGCCAUUUCGUGUCAACCACCCCAAGAUGAAUGACUCAACGCCAAAGGCUUCAUUCUUAUCCGCAACCAACAUGUGUGAUGA
rnacentral:lncRNA from 1 species